rnacentral:rRNA from 1 species
GACAGAGGGUGCAAACGUUGUUCGGAAUUACUGGGCGUAAAGCGUGUGUAGGCGGCUACGUAAGUCGGAUGUGAAAGCCCCAGGCUCAACCUGGGAAGUGCACUCGAUACUGCGUAGCUUGAGUAUCGGAGAGGUUGGUGGAAUUCUCGGUGUAGAGGUGAAAUUCGUAGAUAUCGAGAGGAACACCGGUGGCGAAGGCGGCCAACUGGACGAAUACCGACGCUGAGACACGAAAGCGUGGGGAGCAAACAGG